rnacentral:rRNA from 1 species
AAAGUGGUAGCAAUACCAUGAGUAAAGUGGCGCACGGGUGAGUAACACGUGACUAACCUACCCUGGAGUGGGGGAUAACUGAGGGAAACCUUAGCUAAUACCGCAUAAUACCCACGGGUCAAAGGAGCAAUUCGCUUCAGGAGGGGGUCGCGGCCGAUUAGUUAGUUGGCGGGGUAAUGGCCCACCAAGACAGUGAUCGGUAUCCGGCCUGAGAGGGCGCACGGACACACUGGAACUGAAACACGGUCCAGACUCCUACGGGAGGCAGCAGUGGGGAAUUUUGCGCAAUGGGGGAAACCCUGACGCAGCAACGCCGCGUGGAGGAUGAAGUCCCUCGGGACGUAAACUCCUUUCGAUCGGGACGAUUAUGACGGUACCGGAAGAAGAAGCCCCGGCUAACUUCGUGCCAGCAGCCGCGGUAAUACGAGGGGGGCGAGCGUUGUUCGGAAUUAUUGGGCGUAAAGGGUGCGUAGGCGGUUUGGUAAGUCUUAUGUGAAAUCUAUGGGCUCAACUCAUAGACUGCAUGAGAAACUGCCGGGCUUGAGUAUGGGAGAGGUGAGUGGAAUUCCUGGUGUAGCGGUGAAAUGCGUAGAUAUCAGGAGGAACACCUGUGGCGAAAGCGGCUCACUGGACCAUAACUGACGCUGAUGCACGAAAGCUAGGGGAGCAAACAGGAUUAGAUACCCUGGUAGUCCUAGCCCUAAACGAUGACUGCUUGGUGUGACGGGUACCCAAUCCCGCCGUGCCGUAGCUAACGCGUUAAGCAGUCCGCCUGGGGAGUACGGUCGCAAGGCUGAAACUC